UACGUAGGCAGCAAGCGUUGUUCGGAAUUACUGGGCGUAAAGCGUGCGCAGGCGGCUUUGCAAGACAGAUGUGAAAUCCCCGGGCUCAACCUGGGAACUGCAUUUGUGACUGCAUGGCUAGAGUACGGUAGAGGGGGAUGGAAUUCCGCGUGUAGCAGUGAAAUGCGUAGAUAUCGUCAAGAACACCGAUAGUGAAGACAGCUUACUAGGCUGCAACUGACGCUGAGGCACGAAAGUGUGGGGAUCAAACAGG
rnacentral:rRNA from 1 species